GCUUAAGCUCGAAGGUGCGGGUAUCGAACAGGAUUAGAUACCCUGGUAGUCCGCACAGUAAACGAUGGAUGCCCGCUGUUGGUACCUGGUAUCAGCGGCUAAGCGAAAGCAUUAAGCAUCCCACCUGGGGAGUACGCCGGCAACGGUGAAACUCAAAGGAAUUGACGGGGGCCCGCACAAGCGGAGGAACAUGUGGUUUAAUUCGAUGAUACGCGAGGAACCUUACCCGGGCUUGAAUUGCAGAGGAAGGAUUUAGAGAUAAUGACGCCCUUCGGGGUCUCUGUGAAGGUGCUGCAUGGUUGUCGUCAGCUCGUGCCGUGAGGUGUCGGCUUAAGUGCCAUAACGAGCGCAACCCCUCUCUUCAGUUGCCAUCAGGUAAUGCUGGGCACUCUGGAGACACUGCCACCGUAAGGUGUGAGGAAGGUGGGGAUGACGUCAAAUCAGCACGGCCCUUACGUCCGGGGCUACACACGUGUUACAAUGGCCGGUACAGAGGGACGGUGUAAUGCAAAUUGCAUCCAAUCUUGAAAGCCGGUCCCAGUUCGGACUGGGGUCUGCAACCCGACCCCACGAAGCUGGAUUCGCUAGUAAUCGCGCAUCAGCCAUGGCGCGGUGAAUACGUUCCCGGGCCUUGUACACACCGCCCGUCAAGCCAUGAAAGCCGGGGGUGCCUGAAGUCCGUGACCGUAAGGAUCGGCCUAGGGCAAAACUGGUGAUUGGGGCUAAGUCGUAACAAGGUAGCCGUACCGGAAGG
rnacentral:rRNA from 1 species